rnacentral:rRNA from 1 species
GACGAACCGUGCAAACGUUAUUCGGAAUCACUGGGCUUAAAGGGUGCGUAGGCGGUGCGGAAAGUUGGGUGUGAAAUCCCUCAGCUUAACUGAGGAACUGCGCUCAAAACUGCCGCACUUGAGGGAGACAGAGGUGAGCGGAACUUAGGGUGGAGCGGUGAAAUGCGUUGAUAUCCUAAGGAACACCAGUGGCGUAAGCGGCUCACUGGGUCUCUUCUGACGCUGAGGCACGAAAGCUAGGGGAGCAAACGGG